AUGAGGAAGAGAACAAAUACUUGGCUGAAUGAGCUCUUAGAUGAUGGUGAUGUUUAUCUCCCUGAUCUCGGCACGGUGAAAAGAAUGGCAUGCAGGGGUUGCUGCCCAAGCCUCGGUGCUCCUGGAGAGUCCUGCGUUAGAGGAAGCAGCUGCACGAUCUGCUGUGCCGUGGGGUUGUGGUGGGGAGAACCCUCUCUGGCCUCUCCUGGUGCAGGCUCCACGCUGUCAGUGAGGCUCAGCCACGAAGAUCUUCAGACAGAGGGAGGAGGGGAUCUGAGGUCAGUGCGAGCCUCCCCUGCUCCUGCCCACCCACCCCGCCUGAGCGCUCUACCCACCACCCUGCUUGUCAGCACACCCAAGCUCCUGGGGGAUUCGGGCUCCUAGAGCGGCCUGAUCAGCAGGGCUCUGGACAGUGGUCAAGAAUUUGUCAUGCCCCUCAUUGUGGUCGCCCACAAGCCACAACACCUGUCCCUGCAGCUCCAGCAGGUUCACCUGGAGGGAGGGGUGCUUAGCUGCCAUGCCGGUGCCAGUGCCCAAAUUCACCCUCACCCCUACUCCCACCCCCACAAAGAUGUUGCACACCCUACUUGCAUCUCCUGGUCCUGGGCCAGCCUGAUGAUGUCCUCCUGUCCCAGUGACGCAUUUUGGCACUGCCCCCUGUCUGGUGUACUUUCCUGUGGGAGGACACAACUCAGAGGCUGGGGCCCCUCUGACGGCCCUGUAGCUCCCCCUGCCGUACCCUGGCCUCCCGCUCACUUAUGGUGUCUGUCCCAAGAGGUGGAUGAAUCGAAGCUCUAGUUUCUCCCCAUGCUCCUUCAGGUCCACCUUGUCCUCCAUAAAGUCGCUCUGGAGCCAAAAUAAUGGGGUCACAUCUCAAGAUCCACCUGCCUUGCCCCACCCACACCGUUCUUGGCCCCCUUCAGGGCUCGGUGGGUCUCCCCACACACAGACUCACCCCCAGUCCCUGGGGUCCUCUGGGAUGAAGCCACUGGGUGAGCCAGGGGCUGGCAGCACACCCUUUGCUCUUCCUGGGCACUGGCUCCAGCAUCGUUGAAAAAUGCCACCUGAAGGCAAGAGAUGAGUAUUCUUGUAGGGACAUACACAGAACAACCGGGCAGGAGGUGGAGCACAGCCCCUUCCCUUGGGGCUCAGAGUGUGCACCUGUUGGUCACAGUGAAAUGGUGUUUGACCACUGGCUCCCAGAAGGAGUGAAAGUCCACAGAAAUCAGAAGGCAGGGAAACCAAGAACAUAAGGGGAUCUGGGAGGGACCAGCGAGGAAGGUGACAAAGUAGGGGCAGGGAAAGUCAGGCUCACCUGACCUCCAGGCUCUCCCGGUCCUCAGGGAUGUCCUGCAUGGGCCGAGGUGCCUCCUCCUCCUCACUGUCCAGAUGUCCUCCUCCAUCUCUUCUAGGGAGUGGCCAGAGGGGUCCUCAGACAACCCAACAAGGGAAGUGGGGGCCCACCUCUGCCCCCACCCUCACUGUGUAGCCCUGAGCCAGCCCAUUCCCAGAGGGGAAUGAGCUAUUCUGUAUUAUUACUUUUAAGAACCAAGAUCUUGCUAUAUUGCCAGGAACAGUCCCACUAGUCCCACUACCGAUUGGUGCCAGAGUCCUGACCUGGUCCCUUUCUGACCUGGGCCAGUUCUCCCGUCUUUAGGCAACCUGAUGGCCUCCUGCUCCCAGGAGGUCACCAUAUUGAUACCGAACUUAGCGCGGACACCCGGUCGGCAUAAUGACCAGCUGUGUUAAAGGUCUCUUCCAACUCCUCAAUCCUAUGCUGCUAACAGUCCCCCUUUCCUCCUGGGGCUCUCGCCUCUUCCUCCGAGUGGUCUCCCGUACCUUCCCCAGGGAGAACCAUGAGGCUCAACCUGGCUUUAGCUGCUGUUUCUGCUGGCUGGUAGCUUCCAGGUGCUCCUAAGAGGCCAGGAAAGAGGGUGAGAAGGCACGGAGGUUGCCAGGUUGUCCCUCUCGUGGCCCUGUCCUCAGCAACUCCCUCCCCGGGGUCGCCUGCAACUUUUGGCGGGCCAGCUUAGCCACUGCUUUGCCCUGAGCUUUCUGCUGCUGCAGCUGGUCCAGGAGCUGGGUCUGCAGCAGUAACUGCCUGUGCAGCACCUCCUCCUCAGAGGUCAGCUGCUGCUAAGCGACCACAUACUGCUGCAGGUGACACAGGUACUGGUCUCCCUGCUGCUGCAGACUCUGAGCCUCUUGGCUCUUCAGCUCCACCUGCAGGAUGAUCCUGGGCAUGAGGGCGUUUACUAGCUGGCUUCCAGAUUCCUGGCCCAUGAAUAGGGUAGCAAGGGCACUGUGGGGCUCUGUGGCCUGCCCAGGCCCCGGUCCCUUGCUCCAGGCCUCAGAGACUGCCUUCCUUGCCUAGAACCCCAUGCAUCCUUCCCCAGCCUCAAAUCUCACAUCCUUUUCCCCACCAUUUAAACUGUAGGCCACAGACUGGUGGAAUAGCAAGGAGAGCCAACCAGCAUCUGCUAAGUGUACUACAUGCCUACUGUUUCCAUGUGUUAUCUCAUUUAAUCCUCAGCACCUCUGCAAGGAAAACGCUAACUUCCUUUUGAACUUAAAGAAACAGAGACAUAGAGAUGCAAGGUAGUUGAAUGAUAACCAGUGGAACUGAGGCCAGAAUCCAGUUUGAAUCUAAGGAGUCUUUUUGGUUUUUCCGUUUGGUUUUGUUUUGAGACAGUGUCACUCUGUGUCCCAGGCUGGAGUGCAGUGGUGCAGUCUCAGGUCACUGCAAACUCCACCUCCUGGACUCAAAUGAUUCUCAUGUCUCAGCCUCCUGAGUAGCUGGGAUUACAGGCAUGCACCACCAGGCCUGGCUAAUUAUUAUUAUUAUUUUUUGAAAUUGUAGUAGAGAUGAGGUUUUGCCAUGUUGGCCAGGCUGGUCUCAAACUACUGAUCUCAAGUGAUUCUCCUGCCUCAGCCUCCCAAGUGCUGGGAUUACAGGCAUGAGCCACCACACCCGACAUUAGGAGCCUCUUUUUUUUUUUUUGAGACAGAGUCUCACUCUGUUGCCCAGGCUGGAGUGCAGUGGCCAGAUCUCAGCUCACUGCAAACUCUGCCUCCCGGGUUUAUGCCAUUCUCCUGCCUCAGUUUCCCCAAUAGCUGGGACUAUAGGCACCUGCCACCUCACCUGGCUAGUUUUUUGUAUUUUUUAGCAGAGACGGGGAUUCACUGAGUUAGCCAGGAUGGUCUCAAUCUCCUGACCUCGUGAUCCGCCCAUCUCGGCCUCCCAAAGUGCUGGGAUUACAGGCUUGAGCCACCGCACCCGGCCAACUUCUUAUACCACUGUCUCUUCCCCUGUGACUGGGGGACUCCAUGCCUCUAGCUGGGACGAUGAUAUCCAGACCUGGGGGGAGCCCAGGGCUCCCCACCUCUAAAAGUCAGAGGGAAAGAUGCAAGAAACAGUAAUAGGACUGCCCUGGAGAGUGCUGGGGUCACCUGCCCCCAGGUUGCAGCUGCCUCUGGCCUGGCGCCUCCCUUCCCCAGAGGCUGGUGCCCGCCUCCCAGCCCUUCUUGGAUGGGUCAGAGGUUACCGUGUCUUUCAGCUCGCCCAGCGUCUUCAGCUCCUUUACUUGAGGCUCCAACUGCAGUGCGCUCUUGUUCUCAUUGUUCUGGACAGAGAGAAGCAAUCAUUGGCCACCCGCUAUAGCUGAAGACCCCAGAACUUGGUGUCUGCCUGCCGUGGCACCGGGAAGGGUGGAGGCAGGUUAGAAAAAUCAUCCCCUAUCUCCCACAGCCAUCAGAGCGGGGCUCUGGCUCACAGGUGCCUUUAGAAGUACCAUUUCAUGUGAGGACUACAAUGCCCCAUUUUACAGGUGGGGAAACAAAGGCCUGGAGGGCUAGGGAAGAGGGCAGGCUCCCCAGGUGGGGCAACCCACCAGCUCCUCGAAGCUACUGUGUGGCUCCGCCUGCUGCUCGUAGAGGGCUUCCCACCCCAGCUGCAGCAUCCUCUCCAGCUCCCGCAGCCUCUCCAGUCUCCAGUGUCUCCCUGCUCCCACAGCCUCUGAUCCUGCUCCCGCAGCUCUCCUGUUCCAGCAGCUCCCACUUCCUCCUCCAGCAGCUGCUCCUUUCCUGUCCUGUUUGUGC
rnacentral:lncRNA from 1 species